GUCUACGACCAUACCACAAGGAAAUCACCGGUUCUCGUCUGAUUCACCGAAGUUAAGCCUUGUCGGGCGAAGUUAGUACUUGGAUGGGUGACCGCCUGGGAAUACUUCGUGUUGUAGACU